rnacentral:lncRNA from 1 species
GGUGAGGGUCCAAAAUAUUUCUCGUAAUAAAGUUGAUACCAUUUCAAAUACACUUCCGCGACCACGUUAAGUCUUGCCUGGCACAAGUUCUAGAAAUUAAUUAGGUCCAGUUCCCUGCACAGUUUCAAAGUAAUUUCCAAACACGAUGAAUCUGAAUACCACUUGGCGGUGGAGCUAUGUGGAUCAGUCGUGUGUGGAGUUGGUAGAUGAAGCCGAUACCUUAAAACAUUGAAAUAUUAGACUUCGAACAUCAAUGACCUCUGACUCUAUGCUCAAUUCAAUUUUUUCCCUUGUUUCAUUGGGCAGAUGAACAAAAACUGAUAACCA